rnacentral:rRNA from 1 species
AUUGAACGCUGGCGGCAGGCUUAACACAUGCAAGUCGAGCGAGCGGCGGACGGGUGAGUAAUGUCUGGGAACCUGCCUGGUGGAGGGGGAUAACUACUGGAAACGGUAGCUAAUACCGCAUACCAUUAGAUCGGCCCAUAUGGGAUUAGCUAGUUGGUGGGGUAAUGGCUCACCUAGGCGACGAUCCCUAGCUGGUCUGAGAGGAUUACCAGCCACACUGGAACUGAGACACGGUCCAGACUCCUACGGGAGGCAGCAGUGGGGAAUAUUGCACAAUGGGCGCAAGCCUGAUGCAGCCAUGCCGCGUGUAUGAAGAAGGCCUUCGGGUUGUAAAGUACUUUUGGCGAGGAGGCGGUACUCGCAGAAGAAGCACCGGCUAACUCCGUGCCAGCAGCCGCGGUAAUUC